UGCGUCUGCGAGGGGCGAAGCGCGGUUUUGUAAAAAGACUUUGCAGACAGUCAAAGCCGUGUACAGUCUUGUACAUUAAGCUAACGCUUAAUUGAAAGCU
rnacentral:sRNA from 1 species